rnacentral:rRNA from 1 species
AGAGUUUGAUCCUGGCUCAGGACGAACGCUGGCGGCGUGCCUAAUACAUGCAAGUCGAACGAGAGCGACCGGUGCUUGCACUGGUCAAUCUAGUGGCGAACGGGUGAGUAACACGUGGGUAACCUGCCCAUCAGAGGGGGAUAACAUUCGGAAACGGAUGCUAAAACCGCAUAGGUCUUCGAACCGCAUGGUUUGAAGAGGAAAAGAGGCGCAAGCUUCUGCUGAUGGAUGGACCCGCGGUGCAUUAGCUAGUUGGUGAGGUAACGGCUCACCAAGGCCGUGAUGCAUAGCCGACCUGAGAGGGUGAUCGGCCACAUUGGGACUGAGACACGGCCCAAACUCCUACGGGAGGCAGCAGUAGGGAAUCUUCCGCAAUGGACGCAAGUCUGACGGAGCAACGCCGCGUGAGUGAAGAAGGUUUUCGGAUCGUAAAACUCUGUUGUUAGAGAAGAACAAGUGCUAGAGUAACUGUUAGCGCCUUGACGGUAUCUAACCAGAAAGCCACGGCUAACUACGUGCCAGCAGCCGCGGUAAUACGUAGGUGGCAAGCGUUGUCCGGAUUUAUUGGGCGUAAAGCGAGCGCAGGCGGUUCCUUAAGUCUGAUGUGAAAGCCCCCGGCUCAACCGGGGAGGGUCAUUGGAAACUGGGGAACUUGAGUGCAGAAGAGGAGAGUGGAAUUCCAUGUGUAGCGGUGAAAUGCGUAGAUAUAUGGAGGAACACCAGUGGCGAAGGCGACUCUCUGGUCUGUAACUGACGCUGAGGCUCGAAAGCGUGGGUAGCAAACAGGAUUAGAUACCCUGGUAGUCCACGCCGUAAACGAUGAGUGCUAAGU